GAGAGAGGGCCACUCGCCUUCCUGGUGACACAGAGAUUUCCUAGCCCCGUUACCAAACGAAAAAGCAACGCAAGGGCUUCUAAGAAGCCAUCCCAAUGACCUUUUGGCUUUGAGAAGAGCAGUCCUCAUACCAGAGUGUUUGGGGUUUUGGCCUCUUUCAGUGUUUAUUCAUUCUUACGUGGGAAAGUUGUAUUCCGAGGUUUCUGUGGUGCAUGAAGCUUUUGCCUUCACCAUCUGUUCCCGUGUCUUCCUCGGGUGACAUCAGAGUACAGCAGUAUUUUCCCUUGCCAUCUAAUGGGGUUUGGGCUGUUUGACUCAACCGUGUGUGUUCCUCAAUGCCAGGGGAAUAAUCCUACCCUAAGUCAGCUGAACAGAAGCCAGGAUCUAACUGCAAACAAGAGACCCAGCUUGCUUAACAGCAUGGAAGAGACCAGUUUCGUUGCAGCUACCUGGGAAGACGGUUGCUAAUUAGCCUGCAACAAAGAGUUCCUUGCUCAUCUAAAAGAGGCAAUCACCGUUCAGGUGAAGCUUUGUUCUAAGAAUAUUUGUUUCAUCUAGUUUAUGAGUCCAAAUGAUAUAGACUGUAAAUGUCACAGCAGUGGUGAAAGACUGCUCGGUCAUGAGCACCGACAGUAACUCACUGGCACGUGAAUUUCUGACCGAUGUCAACCGGCUUUGCAAUGCAGUGGUCCAGAGGGUGGAGGCCAGGGAGGAAGAAGAGGAGGAGACGCACAUGGCAACCCUUGGACAGUACCUUGUCCAUGGUCGAGGAUUUCUAUUACUUACCAAGCUAAAUUCUAUAAUUGAUCAGAGAUGGGGUUUCACCGUGUUGACCAGCUGAUCUUAAACUCCUGACCUCAAGCAGUCUACCCCCGUUGGCCUCCCAAAGUGCUGGGAUUACAGGUGUGAGCCACUGCACCCAGCCAAGUUUAUGUAUUUUUAUUCUUUUUCAUGAAUGUGAUUUGUUAAAUGAGUGAUUAAAUAUAAUUUUUAUAUAUUUGUAUGACUUUUCUGUAAAUAAAAUUUAAAAUCAGAAAAAAUCAUGUUAGACCAUGUAUAGUGAUUUAUUUUGAAAUUUUGAUUAUUUAAUAUGUACACCAUGCUCUGUUCUUCCCCACAAUAAAAAAAUUCAAUGCUUUGUCUUCUUUAAAAUAUACCAUAUAAAUAGCAUCAGUAAUAGUAAAUAUCGAGGAAUGACUCUAAUAAAAUAUGUACAGUACUUCUGCAUGGAAUUCUAUAAAACAUUAUUGAGAGAAACUAAAGAAGACCCAAAUAAUUGGAGCAUUAUAUAAUGUUCAUGUAUUGAAAGAAUCAAUAUUAUAAACAUACAUGUUUUCUCCAAAUCUAUAGAUCCCAAUUUAAUCCCAAUCAAAAUCUUAAUAACAGCAUUAUUAAAAAUAACAUUAUUGAGAUAUAAUUCACAUAUCUUAAAAUUCACCCAUUUUAUGUGUACAAUUCAGUGGCUUUUAGUGUAGUCACAGGUAAGUGCAUCUGUCACCACAGUUAAUUUUGGAAUAUUUUCAUCACCUCCAAAAGAAACUCCAUACCCUUUAGCUAUCGUUCCCCUAUCCCUUCCAUUCCCCUACCCCUAAGCAAACACUAAUCUACUUUCUAUCUCUCCAGAUUUUAUGCUUUCUCUUUUAUGUCAUGAAAUGUCUUUUAAUGUAUUACUAAAUGACUGAAAUAAUUCAUGUCAUAACAGCAGCAAUAAUUUUUCUUUUGGGAAUAUUUUGCUAGUCUGUAGUGUUAGCCAUUCUAAAAGAAUAUGAAGUAGUAUCUUAUUGUAGUUUUAGUUCACAUUCCUCUAACAACUAAUGAUGUUGAGCAUUUUUUCAUUUGCUUAUUGGCCAUUUGUAUAUCUUCUUUUAUGAACAUCUCUUUAAAAGUUUUGUACCAUUUUUAAGGUCAGGUUAUUUAUUUAUCAUCAGUUGUAGCAGUUCUUUAUGUAUUCUGGAACCAAGUCUAUUGGAUUCCAAAUACGGUAUUUUCUUUGUAUAUAUGGUAAAUAGAAUACUUUCUCUUUUAAGUCAUAAGAUAUAUUUUAAGAUAUUAAAUGACUAAAAUUAUUUAGGUCAUAAGUUAAAUAUUUUUUUCCUGUGGUGGUAUUUUUUAAUCCCUUCUUUCCACCUAGUCACUUUUUGGAAUAUCUGUAGCAAUAAUAGUAGGAACAGUAGAUGUGCCUUUGGAGUGAAAAUAAAUAGCCAUUUAAAACAUAGGCCUUUAUCAACAUUUAGUUCUUUCAAUUAGGAAAUGGAGAAUGAAUGUUUGAGUUUUUAAGGGGAAUUAAUUGAAUGAUAUUUUAUCAUUUAAGAUGAAAUCAUAACACUAGACACAUAGUUGUAUGUUUUAGGAGGAAAUUUAGUUUUUCUAUCUGUGCUUCUCAUGAAUAGGAGCACUUCUUGAGUACUCUGGGGUGAUUUAAGCCCUUUCCCACCAACUGUAGUCCGUUUGCUUUAUUAAUAUUUAUUUAUUUAUUUUUGAGACAGAGUCUCACUUUUUCACCCAGGCUGGACUGCAGCGGCACAAUCAUGGCUCACUGUAACCUCAGCCUCCAGGGUUCUAGAGGUUGUCAUGUCUCAGCCACCUGAGUAGCUGGGAUUACAGACGUGCGCCACCACGCCCGGGCUAAUUUUUAAAAAUAUUUUUAGUAGAAACAGGGUUUUGCCAUGUUGGCCAGGCUGGUCUCAAACUUCUGGCCCCAAGUGAUCUGCCCGCCAUGGCCUCCCAAAGUGCUAGGAUUACAGGUGUGAGCCACUGCGCCCAGCUUAUUAAUAGACAUUUAAUAUAAAGAAGUAAAUAAACUUUUUAUUGAGGUAUAAUUUAUAUACAGUAAGUGCACAGAUAAUGUGUAUGCAGUUAGAUGAAUAGUGACAAAUACACCUCACAUCAGUAGUCCCAAUCCUUUGGGAGGCCGAGGUAGAUGGAUUACUUGAGGCCUGGAGUUCGAGACCAGCCUGGGCAACAUGGCAAAACCCCAUCUCUACAAAAAAAUACAAAAAUUAGCCAGGUGUGGUGGUGUGUGCCUAUAGUCCCAGCUACUCAGGAGGCUGAGGUGAGAGGAUUGCUUGAGCCUGGGGAAAUCAAGGCUGCAGUGAGCCAUGGUCGUGCCACUGCACUCUGACCUGGGUGACAGAGUGAAACCCUGUCUUAAAAAACAAAACAAAAUCCAAAUAUUUACACCUGUGUCAUCACCACCCAGAUCAUUGUUUAGAAUAUUUCCGCCACCUUAGAAAGUUUUGUCAUGCCUUUUUUUUCAGUCAGUCCCUCCCCUUCACUCACUGCAAGACCACCACUGUUGUGACUUUUAGCAUCUAAAUGUAGCUUUGGAAUCAUGUAGUAUGUACUCUCAUGUCUCUGAAAUUCAUCCAUGUUGUUGCAUAAUUCAGUAGUUCACUACUUUUUAAUUUCUGAUUAGUAUUUCAUUGUAUGGGUGUACUGUAAUUUGUUUAACCAUUCACCUGCUGUUUAAUCUUUUGAGCUGUAUGCAUUUGGCUAUUAUGAAUAAAGCUGCUUUGAACAUUCCUA
rnacentral:lncRNA from 1 species